GACGAACGCUGGCGGCGUGCCUAAUACAUGCAAGUCGAACGCUUUUUCUUUCACCGUAGCUUGCUCCACCGAAAGAAAAAGAGUGGCGAACGGGUGAGUAACACGUGGGUAACCUGCCCAUCAGAAGGGGAUAACACUUGGAAACAGGUGCUAAUACCGUAUAACAAGUAAAACCGCAUGGUUUUACUUUGAAAGGCGCUUUUGCGUCACUGAUGGAUGGACCCGCGGUGCAUUAGCUAGUUGGUGAGGUAACGGCUCACCAAGGCAACGAUGCAUAGCCGACCUGAGAGGGUGAUCGGCCACAUUGGGACUGAGACACGGCCCAAACUCCUACGGGAGGCAGCAGUAGGGAAUCUUCGGCAAUGGACGAAAGUCUGACCGAGCAACGCCGCGUGAGUGAAGAAGGUUUUAGGAUCGUAAAACUCUGUUGUUAGAGAAGAACAAGGAUGAGAGUAAAAUGUUCAUCCCUUGACGGUAUCUAACCAGAAAGCCACGGCUAACUACGUGCCAGCAGCCGCGGUAAUACGUAGGUGGCAAGCGUUGUCCGGAUUUAUUGGGCGUAAAGCGAGCGCAGGCGGUUUCUUAAGUCUGAUGUGAAAGCCCCCGGCUCAACCGGGGAGGGUCAUUGGAAACUGGGAAACUUGAGUGCAGAAGAGGAGAGUGGAAUUCCAUGUGUAGCGGUGAAAUGCGUAGAUAUAUGGAGGAACACCAGUGGCGAAGGCGGCUCUCUGGUCUGUAACUGACGCUGAGGCUCGAAAGCGUGGGGAGCAAACAGG
rnacentral:rRNA from 1 species